GAUGAACGCUGGCGGCGUGCCUAACACAUGCAAGUCGAGCGGCAGCGAGGGGUGCUUGCACCCUGUCGGCGAGCGGCGGACGGCUGAGUAACGCGUGGGAACGUGCCCCAAGGUGAGGAAUAACUGCCCGAAAGGGUAGCUAAUACCGCAUAUUAUCUUCGGAUCAAAGGAUUUAUCCGCUUUGGGAGCGGCUCGCGUCGGAUUAGGUAGUUGGUGAGGUAAUGGCUCACCAAGCCGACGAUCCGUAGCUGGUCUGAGAGGAUGACAGCCAGACUGGAACUGAGACACGGUCCAGACUCCUACGGGAGGCAGCAGUGAGGAAUCUUCCACAAUGGGCGAAAGCCUGAUGGAGCAACGCCGCGUGCAGGACGAAGGCCUUCGGGUUGUAAACUGCUUUUAUAAGUGAGGAAUAUGACGGUAACUUAUGAAUAAGGAUCGGCUAACUACGUG
rnacentral:rRNA from 1 species